GACGGGUGAGUAACGCGUGGGAACGUGCCUUUUGGUGGGGGACAACAGUUGGAAACGACUGCUAAUACCGCAUAAGCCAAUUUGGGAAAGCCUUCGGGCGCCGAAAGAUCGGCCCGCGUUAGAUUAGGUAGUUGGUGGGGUAAUGGCCUACCAAGCCUACGAUCUAUAGCUGGUCUGAGAGGAUGAUCAGCCACACUGGGACUGAGACACGGCCCAGACUCCUACGGGAGGCAGCAGUGGGGAAUAUUGGACAAUGGGGGCAACCCUGAUCCAGCAAUGCCGCGUGUGUGAUGAAGGCCCUAGGGUUGUAAAGCACUUUCGCCGGUGACGAUGAUGACGGUAACCGGAUAAGAAGCCCCGGCUAACUCCGUGCCAGCAGCCGCGGUAAUACGGAGG
rnacentral:rRNA from 1 species